GCACAUCCUCUCUAUACACCGCUUUGUCCUCUGCAGAGAAAAUAUUCAUGACACACCUCUUGCCUUCCCAAGCGCUGUUUCACACACCCACAUUCAAGGAAGCAAGACCUCCUGUUUGAAGGCAAGGCAGAGAGAAAAACUGAAUGAAGAACACCAUGGAUAAGCUUCUGUCCGAAUCAGAUGAGAGGCUUCAGCUUCAUCUGAAGGAAAGAAUGGCUGCUCUGGAGGAUAAGAAUUCUCUCCUAUGGGAAGUUGAAAAUGAGAAAAAACAAUUAGAAGAAAUGAAAAA